AAAACUUGAUUUAUAGUAAUAAGCUGCAAUUUUAUUGUCAUAUUUAACUAUAACCGCGUGUUUCAUGGUUAUUGAUUAGAGCUGGUAAAAGCCAACCACUGGAGAUUUUAACUGCAUGAGCUUGCACGUACUGUGACCAAUAACUCUCUACUCAACAUCAACCCCUCAUCUGGUGAGGCUAGAAUGCCUCCCACAAACAUACAAUAUCCUAUGGCAGGUUUGUUGUAAUGCUUGCGGCAAACCUGUGAAAGCCAGUCAGUUUGCAGCUCAUGAAGAGCGUUGCAAGUCAAUUAGCUCUAAGGAGAAUGCUGACCAGGAGCUUUAUGGUGGUGCUGAUCAAAAGAAACCUUCAAAGAAAGGGAGACAAAGAAUUCAAUUAACCAAUGGUAUUAUACUUGUCUUCAUUAUUGUUUCAUCUCUAUGUGAUGAUCUCUUUA